GAUGAACGCUGGCGGCGUGCCUAAUACAUGCAAGUCGAGCGAACAGACGAGGAGCUUGCUCCUCUGACGUUAGCGGCGGACGGGUGAGUAACACGUAGGUAACCUACCUAUAAGACUGGGAUAACUUCGGGAAACCGGAGCUAAUACCGGAUAAUAUUUUGAACCGCAUGGUUCGAUAGUGAAAGAUGGUUUUGCUAUCACUUAUAGAUGGACCCGCGCCGUAUUAGCUAGUUGGUAAGGUAACGGCUUACCAAGGCAACGAUACGUAGCCGACCUGAGAGGGUGAUCGGCCACACUGGAACUGAGACACGGUCCAGACUCCUACGGGAGGCAGCAGUAGGGAAUCUUCCGCAAUGGGCGAAAGCCUGACGGAGCAACGCCGCGUGAGUGAUGAAGGUCUUCGGAUCGUAAAACUCUGUUAUUAGGGAAGAACAAACGUGUAAGUAACUAUGCACGUCUUGACGGUACCUAAUCAGAAAGCCACGGCUAACUACGUG
rnacentral:rRNA from 1 species